rnacentral:rRNA from 1 species
UACAGAGGUGGCAAGCGUUGUUCGGAAUUACUGGGCGUAAAGGGCGCGUAGGUGGCCUUUUGAGUCAGACGUGAAAUCCCCCGGCUUAACCUGGGAACUGCGUCUGAUACUGGAAGGCUUGAGUUCGGGAGAGGGAUGUGGAAUUCCAGGUGUAGCGGUGAAAUGCGUAGAUAUCGGGAGGAACACCUGUGGCGAAGGCGGCUUUCUGGGCCUUACCUGACGCUGAGACGCGAAAGCGUGGGGAGCGAACCGG